UCUGUUUUUUUUGUUUUGUUUGUUUUUUCUCAUGUGGUUUGCCUGCUGCUUCCUUCCCCUGGUGGAUACCAGGUGACACCUGGUGGAUCGGUGGACUGAGCCCCUGGAGUGAUGCGCGGCCAACCCCGUAGGCACACCUGUGGCUAAUCGGGAGCUGGCUGCUGUGGCGUACUUAGGGAGCGGCUGGCCGACACUUCAGUGCUUGAGUGUUUGCCUUCCAUGGUGUUUCCCCGUGUCUGUCUGGAUCGCCCGUGAAUGCUGUCGCCCCUGGAUCUUCCCGUGUGUUUCCUCCACGACGCCAUAGGAACUACCUAUCGGUCGCCAAGCCCGUGCACUCCCCCAUCCCGGUCCUACCCCAGCGGACUCUCCUCAGGACGCCUCAGGUUGAACCCGUAGGUAGCCUUGGCCCUGGGUACUAGGAUAGUCCGGGACCUCCGCCAGCGGCUCUAUCCAUCCGCAGCCAUAACUUACCUGUCCGCCCUCCAACGCUCGCCGCCGUCUCGAUCCUCCGGAACCUGGAACCCACGCCUUUGCAGCAGGUCUGCGAUCCCACUCACCAUCCCUGAACUUUGACGCCCUGGUUCCCCUCCCGGCUUCCCGAUCGUCAUCCCUUCCCUCAUUUUUCUGUUUAAUAAAAU